ensembl:lncRNA
GAAAAAUACACAGUCCAAAUCUUGGACACCAUUUUAUAUUAAAGGUGCUUCUUUUCAUAAAACCAAGCAGAUUUAACACAUUUUAACAGUAGCUGCACAUGUACAGAAACACAGGUAAUACAAAGCUUCAAAAUCAUAUACUUUCUUCAUACUGGAAAACAAAACAUUUUUCAGAGCUAACGCUUGAAAGCAACAGUAGUCUGCGGCAGAGCUUUCUGCAUACUUACAGCUGGUACACACUAUUUGCUUCUGAUGAUUUUGUGGUUUUCCAAAUGUUGUACUAAAAAGGUUUGGAUUUCAUUUAAUUAAAACAUACUCUUGCCCUCUCCCCUGACAUCUACAUUUCUGAAUACUGGGACAACUGUCAGAGUGAACGCUAUUUGGAGAACAGGAUUGAGAGGUGUGCAAUGUUUGAAACUCAUAGGAAAUCCCCACAGGUUCUUCCCCAGCCACACGGGCUGAAGGAGAUCCACCAGAGUGGAAUGGGUGGCCAAUCUUAGUGUGUGUGUGUGUGUGUGUGUGUGUGUGUGUGUGUGUUUCCUCCUCCUACUUUCUGUGUAAAAGCUGACUGAAGCUAUGUUGAUCCCCUUUCUCCAGAGGGCAUUGUUGUGUUUUCACAAGGAAAGGAUUUAGGCUUUCGACUGAAGUAAGAUUUGCACCGGGGAUGUUAAUGUGAUAAUUGAGACAUUAAGUAGACGGGAGCUGUCUAGGAUGAGAAAUGUCUGUGAGAGAGAGAGAGAGAGAGAGAGAGAGAGAGAGAAUGAGUUUAAUUACCUACCCUGUGCUAUGUAAAACACUGGUUCUUGCAGUAGGUGUUAGAUAGGUGGCCCAAAAUGGCAGAGAUAGCCCUUGGGUAACAGGAUGUUACCACGUGCCCUUUCUCUGUCUACACCCUGCUGUACGACUAAGCGUUUGUGAAGGAAAUGAAAACUAUAAGCUGUAAGGAUUUUUGUUUUCCAUCUUUGUUCUUUGUAUUUUUUCCUUUUCCCUGUCUAUUUUGAUAAAUAUAUAUGUAAAUCAGACUCACAAAAGGUUCAUAGGCUGUAUGGGAAAGUAUUUUUUGAAAGAAUUAUAUUUUGCUGGAAAACAAUAUAUUAGUACUUUGUCUAAAAAGAUGCAACAAAAAUCUAUGAGAUUUUUUUUGUAAAGUGACAAUGUUUAUGCAUGCUUUUUGACCAGAUGUUUACAGUGUAUUUAAGAAGGGAAAUCCGUGCCUUUUUACUCUCACAUGAAAGGUUACCAUUUUACAGUAUCUGUUGUAAAUAAAUGAGUCCCAGUAUCGCGUUGUGAUGGAGAUUUCUACUUUUAUCCAUCUGUGGUUGGAACACUAGUCUCCCAUGUGUUUGUUUGUCUCGCCUGGUCUCCUGCUAUGUUGUGGUUUAAGAGCAAAACCUGUGAGAGGAUGAAUGAGAGCAAGAAAGACAGAGAGAGAGAGAGAGAGAGAAAUGAAUGUACUUAACAUGGAGAGAGAAACACUUUAUAACAUGAAUGUUAGAUUCACAAAGCGUUUUGUCUCCCUUUUGUUUGUUUAAAAAAUAAUGUGAAUUUCAAAGGAUUUUUCUUAGUAAGAUGGUUUUGUACAUUUUUCGUUUGUUUUCUUUUCUUUAAGUGUCAACACAACCUAAGUACAAUAGGAAAUCAUUCAAAGCUAUAGGUCCUAUUCCAUUGCAUAGCUCCCACCCACUGGAUGCAUAUGGAUAAGUAGUUUGGUUUAUUUCAUUUAAUGACUAAUCCCUUGAUGAAAAGGUUUAUUUAUUUAACACUGCAGACUUACCCAGGACACAUCCACACGCCUUAGGGACAGGAACAGGGUGGGCAUAUAGACAAGGUGCUUGGCUUUUUCUUACAUGGCAACACACACACACACAGGGCAUUGGUCAGAUGAGAUGAGAGGGAAAAUGAACAAACCAAAUGGAAGACCCAAGAGCAGAGGCUGGUGAUUUGAAACGCAGCACACACAGUGCAAUGAUUACACAGAGUACUCAGAACUACAGCCACCAGUCAUGCAGUAUUUCAGCAGUCACUCACAUGAAGCCCGAGUUGACCUGGGAUUAGGAAAACCAAGUGAAGAAAAGUAGCCGAAUCUCUCCAGUGCUGUGCGGAGAUAAGUCCCUCAGAACCACGACCAGAGAGCACUGCUCUGGGCAAGACGGCUGCUUUUGAUCUCUCAAUAAGUUGGUAUAGGAGUCCUAUAGGAGCAAAACCUGUUUGAGUGUUUUGUAGAAGGCAGUUCUGACAGCAAAUGACUGCAGAAUCUCAUGCUUCUGUACAUUGUUUAACCAGCUAUUACACUGUAUUGCUCCUCUCUACUACUGUGGUAUACCAACACUAUGCAUUUGUAUAAAUCACCUACCGCAGAGAAUGGGCUUCUGCAGAGCUACAAGGUAAACACAGUAGGUAGCUUUUCAAUCAGUAUUUUGCAACUGAAAUGAGCUCUGUUCCUCUUCACGGAUAGGAGUCUUCUUUUUUCAAACAGCCCCUCAUGUGUCUUUCUGAUUUGUGUUGUUGUUUUUGCCAUCAUACUUGUUGAAACUGAUCUUGUGUAAAGCAACCAAGCCAUAUCUCCUAGUGUGACGCAAGAUGCAUUUCCUGUUUCCUUACAAAAUAACAGCUAUGAAAAUCAGAAAUGUUUUUAAUCCAAUGCUUUGUACAAUACUUGUCAGCAACUAUCAACAAAGAUCAUCAAUAUUCUUGUUCAUGACUUUAAGGCAAAAUACGCAACUAGUUCCUCCAAACUGUAUAUCUUGAUGCAGAUAUUGCCAUAACUGUGUUUGCAAAAAUAUCAAGGGAUUCCAAUAAACCCCCUAACUGAC